rnacentral:rRNA from 1 species
AUUGAACGCUGGCGGCAGGCCUAACACAUGCAAGUCGAGCGAGCGGCGGACGGGUGAGUAAUGCCUAGGAAACUGCCUGAUGGAGGGGGAUAACUACUGGAAACGGUAGCUAAUACCGCAUACCAUCGGAUGUGCCCAGAUGGGAUUAGCUAGUUGGUGGGGUAAUGGCUUACCUAGGCGACGAUCCCUAGCUGGUCUGGGAGGAUGACCAGCCAAAAUGGAAAUUUGACACGGGCCAGACUCCUACGGGAGGGAACAGGUGGGGAUAUUGCACAAUGGGCGCAAGCCUGGUGCAGCCAUGCCGCGUGUAUGAAGAAGGCCUUCGGGUUGUAAAGUACUUUCAGCGGGGAGGCGUUACCCGCAGAAGAAGCACCGGCUAACUCCGUGCCAGCCACCGCGGUAAUAC